CCUACGGGAGACAGCAGUGAGGAAUAUUGGUCAAUGGCCGAGAGGCUGAACCAGCCAAGUCGCGUGAGGGAAGACGGCCCUACGGGUUGUAAACCUCUUUUGUCGGGGAGCAAAGAGAGUCACGUGUGACUCAAUUAGAGUACCCGAAAAAAAAGCAUCGGCUAAAUCCGGGCCAGCAGCCGCGAUAAUACGGAGGAUGCGAGCGUUAUCCGGAUGUAUUGGGUUUAAAGGGUGCGCAGGCGGAGGUGCAAGUCAGCGGUCAAAUUGCGGGGCUCAACCCCGUACUGCCGUUGAAACUGCAUCCCUUGAGUGCGCGAGAAGUAUGCGGAAUGCGUGGUGUAGCGGUGAAAUGCAUAGAUAUCACGCAGAACUCCGAGUGCGAAGGCAGCAUACCGGCGCGCAACUGACGCUCAUGCACGAAAGCGUGGGUAUCGAACAGGAUUAGAUACCCUGGUAGUC
rnacentral:rRNA from 1 species